AAAUGACUCUCGGCAACGGAUAUCUCGGCUCUUGCAUCGAUGAAGAACGUAGCAAAAUGCGAUACGUGGUGYGAAUUGCAGAAUUCUGUGAACCAUCGAGUUUUUGAACGCAAGUUGCGCCCAAUGUCAUUUGGCUGAGGGCACGYUUGCCUGGGCGUCACGC
rnacentral:rRNA from 1 species